UAAUACGUAGGUGGCGAGCGUUGUCCGGAUUUACUGGGCGUAAAGAGCGCGUAGGCGGCUUGGUAAGUUCUGUGUGAAAGGUUCCGGCUCAACCGGGACAGGGCAUGGGAUACUGCCAGGCUUGAGGGCAGCAGAGGUCGGUGGAAUUCCCGGUGGAGUGGUGAAAUGCGUAGAGAUCGGGAGGAACACCAGUGGCGAAGGCGGCCGACUGGGCUGUACCUGACGCUGAGGCGCGAAAGCGUGGGGAGCGAACCGGAUUAGAUACCCGGGUAGUCCACGCCCUAAACGGUGGUGACUAGGUGUGGGGGGUAUCGACCCCCUCCGUGCCGCAGCUAACGCGAUAAGUCACCCGCCUGGGGACUACGGCCGCAAGGUUA
rnacentral:rRNA from 1 species